rnacentral:rRNA from 1 species
AUUGAACGCUGGCGGCAGGCCUAACACAUGCAAGUCGAGCGGAUGAAGGGAGCUUGCUCCUGUCUUCAGCGGCGGACGGGUGAGUAAUUCCUAGGAAUCUGCCUGGUCUUGGGGGAUAACGUCCGUAAACGGGCGCUAAUCCCGCAUACGUUCUGAGGGUGAAACUGGGGGAUCUUCGGUCCUCACGCUAUCUGCUGAGCCUAGGUCGUAUUAGCUAGUUGGUGGGGUAAAGGCCUACCAAGGCGACGAUCCGUAACUGGUCUGAGAGGAUGAUCAGUCACACUGGAACUGAGACACGGUCCAGACUCCUACGGGAGGCAGCAGUAGGGAAUAUUGGGCAAUGGGCGAAAGCCUGAUGCAGCAAUGCCGCGUGAGUGAAGAAGGUCUUCGGAUUGUAAAGCACUGUAAGUUGGGAGGAAGAGAAGUAAGAGAAUACAUGGAUGUUUUGACGUUACCAACAGAGAAAGCAACGGCUAACUACGUG